GGCAUGGUUGUCGUCAGCUCGUGUCGUGAGAUGUGGUUAGUCCGCAACGAGCGCAACCCUUACUUGCUAGUUACCAUCAUUAAGUUGGGGACUCUAGCGAGACUGCCAGUGAUAAACUGGAGGAAGGUGGGGAUGACGUCAAAUCAUCAUGCCCCUUAUGACCUGGGCUACAAACGUGAUACAAUGGCUGAAACAAAGGGCAGCGAAGCAGUGAUGUGAAGCGAAACCCAAAAAUACAGUCUCAGUUCGGAUUGAAGUCUGCAACUCGACUUCAUGAAGUCGGAAUCGCUAGUAAUCGCGGAUCAGAACGCCGCGGUGAAUACGUUCUCGGGGUUU
rnacentral:rRNA from 1 species